CUCCUUUGACGUUAGCGGCGGACGGGUGAGUAACACGUGGGUAACCUACCUAUAAGACUGGGAUAACUUCGGGAAACCGGAGCUAAUACCGGAUAAUAUUUCGAACCGCAUGGUUCGAUAGUGAAAGAUGGUUUUGCUAUCACUUAUAGAUGGACCCGCGCCGUAUUAGCUAGUUGGUAAGGUAACGGCUUACCAAGGCGACGAUACGUAGCCGACCUGAGAGGGUGAUCGGCCACACUGGAACUUAGACACGGUCCAGACUCCUACGGGAGGCAGCAGUC
rnacentral:rRNA from 1 species